rnacentral:lncRNA from 1 species
CCGCUUUGCUGCUGGCCCCAGCUCUCCAUCCCCAGGAACGGGUCCCUGGCUGUCAUGUAGUAGAAUGUGAUGCAAAGUCUUCUUGAAAAUAAGGAACUGGAUCAGCACUGAGCAUUCGACCCCACUUGGGCCUCUCUGAAUCUCUGCCCUGGGAAUUUGGAGAGAGGCACGUGGGAGUCAGUCUCCGUCAUCUGAGAGAGGAACUUCAAAACCCAACAUGUAACAAACAUCCCAAACCCAGCCUCAGUCUCCAUGGUGAUCAGGAAGUGCCCUCCCCCACCACCUAUCCCCUCUUUCUCCUUGGUGAGGGCCACACAACAUCCAUGAGUAGAGGGCAUCCAUGGCUCAUUUGUAGACUCUAAGGCUGGGAAUGGUGUCAUGUCAAAAGAGGGAAAAAGCUUUAUUCCAUUUGGCUCAGAGAGAGUUGAGGGAGCAGAUGGAGCGUCUCAGCAAUGACAGAAGCUAAAGCAGCAGAGAAAUAGGGUUAAAGCAUAUUGGCAGCUCUGAAGACCUGAGAAGCAGCCUGCUGCCAGGGACCGCAAGUGCUGGGGAAGCUGAACCCCGGGACGUCUGGACAUGCGUGAUCAAGCAGUGACCCCAUUUCUGCAACCGAAACCAAACCAAAAUAAAAUCCUGCUAUAGCC